rnacentral:rRNA from 1 species
UACGUAGGGGGCAAGCGUUGUCCGGAAUUAUUGGGCGUAAAGAGCUCGUAGGCGGUUUGUUGCGUCGGCUGUGAAAACCCGCGGCUUAACUGCGGGCUUGCAGUCGAUACGGGCAGGCUGGAGUUCGGUAGGGGAGACUGGAAUUCCUGGUGUAGCGGUGAAAUGCGCAGAUAUCAGGAGGAACACCGGUGGCGAAGGCGGGCUUCUGGCUAAUUACUGACGCUGAGGUGCGAAAGCUAGGGGAGCGAACGGG